rnacentral:rRNA from 1 species
AGAGUUUGAUCAUGGCUCAGAACGAACGCUGGCGGCAGGCUUAACACAUGCAAGUCGAACGCCCCUUCGGGGGAGUGGCAGACGGGUGAGUAACGCGUGGGAAUCUGCCUAGUAGUUGGGGACAACUCGGGGAAACUCGAGCUAAUACCGAAUACGCCCUACGGGGGAAAGGCUUCGGCCGCUAUUAGAUGAGCCCGCGUAAGAUUAGCUUGUUGGUGGGGUAAUGGCCUACCAAGGCAACGAUCUUUAGCUGGUCUGAGAGGACGAUCAGCCACACUGGGACUGAGACACGGCCCAGACUCCUACGGGAGGCAGCAGUGGGGAAUAUUGGACAAUGGGCGCAAGCCUGAUCCAGCCAUGCCGCGUGAGUGAUGAAGGCCCUAGGGUUGUAAAGCUCUUUCAACGGUGAAGAUAAUGACGGUAACCGUAGAAGAAGCCCCGGCUAACUUCGUGCCAGCAGCCGCGGUAAUUC